GCCGUAAACAAUUAAUUUACACCAAUCACCGCCAGGGGACUACGAGCAAUGCUUAAAACCCAAAGGAUUUGACGGUGUCCCACCCCACUAGAGGAGCCUGUUCUAUAAUCGAUGAUCCCCGCUAUACCCGACCAUUCCUCGCUUAUCAGUCUGUAUACCUCCGUCGAAAGCUUACCAUGUGAACGUUUACAGUAUGCUUAAUGACCCCCACGUCAACACGUCAGGUCAAGGUGCAGCUUAAGGAAUGGGAAGUGAUGGGCUACAAUUUCUAAUCUAAAACAAACGGAAAGCUAUGUGAAAUCUUAGCCAUGAAGGUGGAUUUAGUAGUAAAAAGAAAGUAUAGUGUUCUUUGUAACCCGGCUCUGGGACGCGUACACACCGCCCGUCACCCUCUUCAAUAGUAUCUUCUAUGUUCCUAACCUAUUAUUACACCUUAAAAAAGGCAAGUCGUAACAUGGUAAGUGUACUGGAAAGUGCACUUGGUAAAUA
rnacentral:rRNA from 1 species